GACGAACGCUGGCGGCGUGCUUAACACAUGCAAGUCGAACGGAUUGAUGGGGGCUUGCCCCCUUAUAUCAGCGGCGGACGGGUGAGUAACACGUGGGCAACCUGCCUGUAAGACUGGGAUAACUUCGGGAAACCGGAGCUAAUACCGGAUAAUCCUUUUCCUCUCAUGAGGGAAAGACGAAAGAUGGCUUCGGCUAUCACUUACAGAUGGGCCCGCGGCGCAUUGACUAGUGGGUGAGGUAACGGCUCACCAAGGCGCCGAUGCGUAGCCGACCUGGGAGGGUGAUCGGCCACACUGGGACUGAGACACGGCCCAGACUCCUACGGGAGGCAGCAGUAGGGAAUCUUCCGCAAUGGACGAAAGUCUGACGGAGCAACGCCGCGUGAGCGAUGAAGGCCUUCGGGUCGUAAAGCUCUGUUGCUAGGGAAGAACAAGUACCGUUCGAAUAGGGCGGUACCUUGACGGUACCUAACCAGAAAGCCACGGCUAACUACGUGCCAGCAGCCGCCGUAA
rnacentral:rRNA from 1 species